rnacentral:rRNA from 1 species
AUUGAACGCUGGCGGCAUGCUUUACACAUGCAAGUCGAACGGUAACAGGUUAAGCUGACGAGUGGCGAACGGGUGAGUAAUGCAUCGGAACGUGCCCGGUAGUGGGGGAUAACGCAGCGAGAGCUGCGCUAAUACCGCAUACGAUCUGAGGAUGAAAGCGGGGGACAGUAAGGCCUCGCGCGAUCGGAGCGGCCGAGGUCAGAUUAGGUAGUUGGUGGGGUAAAGGCUCACCAAGCCAACGAUCUGUAGCUGGUCUGAGAGGACGACCAGCCACACUGGUACUGAGACACGGCCCAGACUCCUACGUGAGGCAGCAGUGGGGAAUUUUGAACAAUGGGCGAAAGCCUGAUCCAGCAAUGCCGCGUGCAGGAAGAAGGCCUUCGGGUUGUAAACUGCUUUUGUACGGAGCGAAAAGGUCUCCUCUAAUACAGGGGGCUCAUGACGGUACCGUAAGAAUAAGCACCGGCUAACUACGUGCCAGCAGCCGCCGUAA